CUCUGGGGAGGUGGGCGCCACCGCGGCACACGGGGCACACGGGGGAACGAUCCAGUGCGGCGGAGUCCUUCGCACUCGGACAAAACACCAGCGUCUGUUCACUCACCUCGCGCCCGUUAGCCUCGGACCCCAGGCGCGCAAGGCCGGAAGUGAGGCCUUCCUUGCCGCGCGAGCGUACAAAGGAAGCCGAGCCCCAUUCGCGUCGGAACGAGAUUGGGUGGCGCCCCCUGCGACUUGGGGUGGGAGCGCAGCGGCUCACGCCAGCCAGCGGGGCGAUGCGUCCCAGGGCUGUGCGGCCAGGAACCACCGAGAGUCGGCACCGCCGGGGAGAAAGGGCAUACUUCUGUACGGCCUGCAACAAAGGCCCGCUGGUGUUUUAAAAAUAGGUUUCAGCCGGUGUUGGAGACUUCUGGCCCUCAGACGCAGGGAGGAUGGCCAACACCGGGGCUGUUUGUACAAGCCAUGGCAGCAGGGAAAGUGGUGUGAAACAUGUUGAGGCAACAGCAAAGGCCACCAGGUUCCAAGAGAAAGGCAGUUUGGAGGAGAAGCAUGAGAAAGGAGGAUCUUAAAUGUCUUCACCACAAAAAAGAAAUGGCAAUUAUGUGAGGUGAAAGCCCUGAAGGACUGGAUGGUAAACAGCCAUGUAAAUCUCAGCUGAUGAUGGUGCCCCCCUUUCCUGAGCUGAAGGUUGAACAAGGAAUGCCAGAUCCUUGGAAGUCAAGAAGAGUUUAUGAAACUUUUCAUUUAUGCAGAGCAGCCCUUGGUUCAAAGCUGUGGGAAAAUAUGUUAGCCUGUUCUCAAAGAGAUUAUAUUCUAUUUUGGAAUACCUAUAUGGAACAACUCCUAUCUUUGAAAUUUUACCAUGUACCCCUUUUCUGCAUACAUGAACUCGCUCUGAUCCAGGAUGACUGACUUGCACAUUUUAUAGAUUUAAUUUUGAUGACAGUUCCAUGAGACUGUUGUAUUUUACUUUCCUCAUUUUCACCUGAGGAAAAAAGAGGCACAGAGUGGUAAGGACCUUGUCUGAGGCUACGCAGCUUGAAACUGGCAGAUCCAGGCAUAUUCUGUAGGGAUUCAACAAAGGAAGGGCUGGCUUCAUGGGGUCCGGAUUUUCUGAUCAUCCUGAUGGAUCCUCUCCCCAUUUCUCAAUUUUUCUCCUCUAGAAUUAAAUUCCAUUCUGACUGUGAUCCCAGCCCCCAGGCUAGCCAGCCACAGUCAAGUAGAAAGAAACACACAGCAAUACUUCUGAAAAUCAG